AGAGGAAGUAAAAGUCGUAACAAGGUUUCCGUAGGUGAACCUGCGGAAGGAUCAUUACCUAGAGUUUGUAGACUUCGGUCUGCUACCUCUUACCCAUGUCUUUUGAGUACCUUCGUUUCCUCGGCGGGUCCGCCCGCCGAUUGGACAACAUUCAAACCCUUUGCAGUUGCAAUCAGCGUCUGAAAAAACAUAAUAGUUACAACUUUCAACAACGGAUCUCUUGGUUCUGGCAUCGAUGAAGAACGCAGCGAAAUGCGAUAAGUAGUGUGAAUUGCAGAAUUCAGUGAAUCAUCGAAUCUUUGAACGCACAUUGCGCCCCUUGGUAUUCCAUGGGGCAUGCCUGUUCGAGCGUCAUUUGUACCUUCAAGCUCUGCUUGGUGUUGGGUGUUUGUCUCGCCUCUGCGUGUAGACUCGCCUUAAAACAAUUGGCAGCCGGCGUAUUGAUUUCGGAGCGCAGUACAUCUCGCGCUUUGCACUCACAACGACGACGUCCAAAAGUACAUUUUUACACUCUUGACCUCGGAUCAGGUAGGGAUACCCGCUGAACUUAAGCAUAU
rnacentral:rRNA from 1 species